rnacentral:rRNA from 1 species
GUGAACGCUGGCGGUAGGCCUAACACAUGCCAGUCGCACGGCAGCACAGUAAGAGCUUGCUCUUACGGGUGGCGAGUGGCGGACGGGUGAGGAAUACAUCGGAAUCUACUUUUUCGUGGGGGAUAACGUAGGGAAACUUACGCUAAUACCGCAUACGACCUACGGGUGAAAGCAGGGGAUCUUCGGACCUUGCGCGAUUGAAUGAGCCGAUGUCGGAUUAGCUAGUUGGCGGGGUAAAGGCCCACCAAGGCGACGAUCCGUAGCUGGUCUGAGAGGAUGAUCAGCCACACUGGAACUGAGACACGGUCCAGACUCCUACGGGAGGCAGCAGUGGGGAAUAUUGGACAAUGGGCGAAAGCCUGAUCCAGCCAUACCGCGUGGGUGAAGAAGGCCUUCGGGUUGUAAAGCCCUUUUGUUGGGAAAGAAAAGCAGCAGGUUAAUACCCCGCUGUUCUGACGGUACCCAAAGAAUAAGCACCGGCUAACUUCGUG